rnacentral:lncRNA from 1 species
ACCAUGGUACUUCUUGAUCUGCUUGAUUUCAUUCUUCAUUCAGUAUUUUGUAAUGUGGACCUGUGACCUAUGCAACCUGUUCCAUCUGGUUCACGUCAGACUUUUUAAAGAUGGUUCUUAUGUCGCACUCCUGGAUAUUCUGCAACACCAGCUCUUGGUUUCUGAAUGAAGCCUGCAAAAGAAAUUCUCAGCCUUGGAGAAAACCAGCUCACAACAGGGUGAACCAAAGAUGCACCACGAUUGAAGACAAAAAAUGUGAAUUCAACAAGAAUUUUCAUUUCAUCCUUCACACUAAACUGGCUAACCCUCACUUACAAGCCAGAACUGCGGGCUCAGACUACCUUAAUUAA